CGUAGGGCGAGCGUUGUCCGGAUUCAUUGGGCGUAAAGCGCGCGCAGGCGGCCGCGUGAGCCCGGCGUGAAAGCCCCCAGCUCAACUGGGGAGGUCGUCGGGACCGCGAGGCUGGAGGCCGGCAGGGGAGAGUGGAAUUCCCGGUGUAGUGGUGGAAUGCGUAGAGAUCGGGAGGAACACCAGUGGCGAAGGCGACUCUCUGGGCCGGUCCUGACGCUCAGGCGCGAAAGCGUGGGGAGCGAUCCGGAUU
rnacentral:rRNA from 1 species